CAGAGCUCUUCAUGACAUUAAAAAAAUGGGAAAGGAGAGAAAUACUUUGGUGAUGUAGAACUCGAUCCGCAUUAUAUGAAGAGUAUUCCCUGAGUUCCUUCUUCUGUCGCCCAUGCCAACUGCUUCAAGAAUCACUUGCUCUGCGUUCCAAUAACCAGACAGGAAUGCAGGGAGAAGAGAAUGCCAGAUUCAUGAGGAUUUUUAUUGAAGAGUUCACCAGUGCAUGAAAGAACAACCAGAGGGUAAAAUCCAUAUGCCUUCUGCACUGCCACAAGCCUCUCCUGCAGACAAGUGAGGACCAAACUACAUCAAGGAAAUAGAGCAAGUGUCUUUACAGAUUUAUAGCGUAUGGAAUAAU